UGGCAGGCAGACUCAUAGCUGUGCCCUGCUGGCAAGCAGAGUAUCAGGGAGGCAUGUUCCCAGGAUAUGCUUGGAGUAGGUCUUACUUAGAACCUGGCAGAAUCCCAUCCCUGGAAGGCCAAGUGCUCAGGUCACUGUACUCAAAGCUAGGAUUUAGAGACAAGAUAGAGGCAGUGAGGAGCCUCUUGAUCAGGCUGCACCUGUCUAAAGAUGUGAGUCCCAAGACAGCUCCCUGAAGAGCAUAACUCGUUAGCACUGCAGUGUCUGAAAUGAAUCUUCAGCUCUAGAAACUGAACAUCCAGAAUGCAGUUAUCAGCAAGGCUACCUCCCUCUAGAGGGCACAGGAGGACAUUUCCUGCAAAUCUCAGCUUCUGGUAGUGCCUGCAGCCCUCGGUGUUCUUGGCCAGUCCCUGACGUAUACCAGUGAGGAUGACCUCAUCUUAAAUUGAAACAAUACACUACUGGAGUAGCUUUCCCAUGAGUAAGUGGGUUCAUCUCCAGAGUGAGAGGAAUCCACACAUGAGAACAAUAAAGCAGCUAUUUAUGCCAGUGAUGCUGGCUAUGUUGUGCAAGAGACGCUGUGCACGUGACAGCCUUCUCUCUUGUCUCCUAAGUCCUUACCCCAUACCCAUGAAGACUUCCUGUCUUCUUGAUAUCCAUGUUCUGCAAGUAAGGAACUGAACCAUGGAAGUUAAGUUCUUCACUUGAAGUUAGAAUGGGCCUUCAGGGGCUGGCUCCAGGAUGACCCAGAUACUAAAUGGACAUGGGCCCAUCAGAUAGAAGAAGGGAUCUGGGAGAGGCAUGUACAGGGCCUGGGAGCCUGAGAGGUGUACAUUUGCUUCCAGUCCUACCUGCUGCCUCUUCCCUCUGCCUUUCCCCUUUGCUCUCUGGCACCGGCUCUUCGCUUCAACACUCUUCCAGGACUUGACUUUUUAAGGAGUUUCCAGGCAGCAGGAGGCCACCACUCUGGGCCCCACACACUACAGUCUUAGGCUAUUUGCCAUCUACCUCUUAUAUUUCCAAUUACUUGGGAUUUCUCCCUCACAGUCGCAUGGCCACUCUUGUUGAAGUAUUAGGUCAUCUGAGAGAUGAUGAGGCAGGAGGGCAGUGGCUGUGACAUGUGACAGAAGAGUGGAGGGGCAGAGGUGCCAGUGGCUCAGCCCAGACUCAGAAGAGUCAGGUCCAGAGCCAUGUGUAGUUUUUAAUGCAAUGUGUACUGAGACAAUGGAGUUGUGUUUUACACUAUCCCAGAGGGCCUCACAGUAAGAGAGCAGACGAGUAACUUCCUGGGCACAUCUGUGCUUCACACUUCACACACCUCCUCUUCGUCCAUCCUCUCCACAUGAGGUGGCACAUGUUAGGUGAGACUCUGAGUCUGAGAAGUGAUGGUCACACAGCAAGUAUGACAUUGUGUGUAGCAGGGAUCUGAGUUCACCGUCUGUCCUGCCCAGGGCACUUGUGUGCUUGCCCUGGAUCAGCACAAAGGAGGCGGGUGGCUGAAUCUUCAAUUAAGUGGCUCUUUCAAUUUGUUUUUGCUUUUAGGGUUUUUACUAGGCUUUUUGUUUGUUUGUUUGUUUGUUUGUUUGUUUUGUGUUGUUGUUGGUGGUGGUGGUGGUUUUUUGUUUUUGUUUUGCUAUACUUUUACUUUUUUUGUUUUUUGUAUGCCAGAGAUCUUACCAUAUAGCUGUCCUAAAACAUGCAAUCAUCCUGCCUUUAUCCCUGUAGGUUCGAGAAGAACAUACUUGCACCACUGUGGCUAAGUCACAUUUUCAAGUCAGGGAUUCUGAUGUAUCUUAUAGAUCCCUUCUUCUACAGUAAGGUACAUCGACACAAGAGGUUCAAAUAGCAGAUGUCCAGAGGAUGGAGAAGUGGCUAUUAGCUCUCACUGAUCUUGCAGAGGACCCAGGACCAGUUCCCAGCACCCACACAGUGACUCACAACAACCUGCAUCAGGGGAGUCCAGCUCCCUCUUUCAGCCUCCAAGAGCACCACGUGCAUAUGCUGCACAUACAACAAACCCACACACAUAGUCAGAAAAAAAUCAAAUGAACAGGUUCAAAGAGCCACAAAACCUCUAGAGUCUAUGCUGCAGUUGCUAGCACAAGAAAACUUUCUAGCUCUUUCUGGCUUUUCAACUGUGUGUACUGGUUGCCAGGCCACCAUGUUCCUUGAUGAUAAGAAGCUGUAUGUAACAAGAUCUCUGUGAGCCAGGAGGACUAGCAUUCCCAAUUUUGUGGGAGAUGAAAUGGAAGCAGAAGCUACACAGUGGUGAAUGACAAAGUCGGACUAAACCCCAGACAUGUGCAAUACCAGAUUAACCACACCUUUUAUACUACAGGUUUCAGAGCAGCCUUGCCGUGUUUCAGUCCUUUAGUGUGGGAGGGGGCACUUUUUGAGACAGGGUUUCUCUGUGUCACCCUGGCUGUCCUGGAACUCACUCUGUAGACCAGGCUGGCCUUGAACUCAGAGAUCCGCCUGCCUCUGCUUCCAGAGUGUUGGGAUCAAAGGCGUGCGCCACCACCUCCCAGCUAUGUUUCAGUCUUUGAAACAUAGUCCCAGCUACAGAUUCAGCCAGGCCUCGUAGCACAGGCCUAUAAUACCAGCUACUCAAGAAACUGAAGCAAAAGAAUUGGCAAGUUCAAGUCUUGGCUGGAUAAAUGAGACCCUAUCUCAAAAAAG
rnacentral:lncRNA from 1 species